GAUGAACGCUGGCGGCGUGCUUAAUACAUGCAAGUCGAGCGAACAGACGAGGAGCUUGCUCCUCUGACGUUAGCGGCGGACGGGUGAGUAACACGAGGAUAACCUACCUAUAAGACUGGGAUAACUUCGGGAAACCGGAGCUAAUACCGGAUAAUAUAUUGAACCGCAUGGUUCAAUAGUGAAAGACGGUUUUGCUGUCACUUAUAGAUGGAUCCGCGCCGCAUUAGCUAGUUGGUAAGGUCACGGCUUACCAAGGCAACGAUGCGUAGCCGACCUGAGGGGGUGAUCGGCCACACUGGAACUGAAACACGGUCCAGACUCCUACGGGAGGCAGCAGUAGGGAAUCGUCCGCAAUGGGCGAAAGCUUGACGGAGCAGCGCCGCGUGAGUGAUGAAGGUCUUCGGUUCGUAAAACUCUGUUAUUAGGGAAGAACAAAUGUGUAAGUAACUAUGCACGUCUUGACGGUACCUAAUCAGAAAGCCACGGCUAACUACGUG
rnacentral:rRNA from 1 species